AGAGGUUCACGUAAACAAGCCCGCAUGUUGAUUAUGCCGAUUACAUCGCCUUCGUCUCCAGCCGAACCAUCAGGACCACCAUCGCUGACUACAGGUAAAUGUCGAAAUUUGUGUUCAAUCAUUAAUAGCAAAGCGUCAUCAAAACGUGUAUCACUGGUAAUACACAAAGGACUUGUACUCAUUAUAUCGGCGAUCAAUGUCUGCCUAGCAUUCAGACCUGCACCGACACAUCGGGUUGCUAUAUCCGUAGCUGUUACAAUUCCUGCAAGUUGCUCAUCGUCGUCCACAACGAGUACGCAAUUUUGGCGUUUGGCUGCCAUCAAUUGCGCUGUUUCAGUAACCAGACUUUGCAUGUGAACCGUCAAUGCUGGAUCUAAGGCAGCACUAUCUACCGUUCCAGGCUCUCCAUUUCUUCUUAUCUUUCUAACUGGAGACUCAAAAUUUCCUGACUUUUUACCCAAUUCAGAUAUGA